UACGUAGGGGGCUAGCGUUGUCCGGAAUCAUUGGGCGUAAAGAGCGUGUAGGCGGCUUGGUAAGUCCGCUGUGAAAGUCCAGGGCUUAACCCUGGAAAGCCAGUGGAAACUGUCAAGCUAGAGUCCGGAAGAGGUGAGUGGAACUCCUGGUGUAGCGGUGAAAUGCGCAGAUAUCGGAAGGAACACCUGUGGCGAAAGCGGCUCACUGGACCAUUACUGACGCUGAGGCACGAAAGCUAGGGGAGCAAACAGG
rnacentral:rRNA from 1 species